rnacentral:rRNA from 1 species
AACGCUGGCGGCGCGCCUAACACAUGCAAGUCGAACGAGAAAGUGGAGCUAUCCAUGAGUACAGUGGCGUACGGGUGAGUAACACGUGGAUCAUCUACCUCUUUGUGGGGAAUAACCCUGGGAAACCGGGGAUAAUACCGCAUAAGCCUUAGAAGGGAAAGCAGCAAUGCGCUGAGAGAGGAGUCCGCGGCCGAUUAGCUAGUUGGCGGGGUAAAAGCCCACCAAGGCUUAGAUCGGUAGCCGGCCUGAUAGGGCACACGGCCACACUGGCACUGAAACACGGGCCAGACUCCUACGGGUGGCAGCAGUGGGGAAUCUUGCACAAUGGGGGAAACCCUGAUGCAGCGACUCCGCGUGAGCGAUGAAGCCCUUCGGGGUGUAAAGCUCUUUCGGCAGGGAUGAUUAUGACGGUACCUGCAGAAGCAGCUGCGGCUAACUACGUGCCAGCAUCCGCGGUAAUU